GUGCAGUUCCUUAACACAAAGUGGGAGGAGAAGAACUCUUCCCAGAGGGAGGAGUAUUGGGUGCACGUUUGCAAACUUGGAAUACUACCUCAUCGCUCUUAAGAAGAUUCCAGAUACUUGUACCUAAGAACCUGGUAUGAGAUGUGACUAAAAUGCAGAUUUCCCGAGCCCGUUAUCAGACUGAAUGGAUUAGAAUCUCCAUAGAGAUAUAGAUUCUGGGGAGUUGUAUGCACCGAGGACAGGUCACGUGAGAGGACACAAUAAGAAGAAGCCAUCCACAGAUCAAGGAGAGAGGCCUCGGGAGAAACCAUCCCUUGCUGACACCUUGAUCUUGGACUUCCAGC